GUUCGUACGUUAGUUUGCUGCCUGGGAGUACGUACGCUGUAUGAUACUUAAAGGAAUUGGCGGGGGAGCACCGGGUGGUCAGGAGGAUUAUUGGGCCUAAAGCAUCCGUAGCCGGUUCUGUAAGUUUCCGGUUAAAUCCACUAGCUCAACUAAUGGGCUGCCGGAAAUACUGCAGAACUAGGGAGUGGGAGAGGUAGACGGUACUCGGGAGGAAGGGGUAAAAUCCUUUGAUCUCUUGAUGACCACCUGUGGCGAAGGCGGUCUACCAGAACACGUUCGACGGUGAGGGAUGAAAGCUGGGGGAGCAAACCGGAUUAGAUACCCGGGUAGUCCCAGCUGUAAACGAUGCAGACUCGGUGAUGCACUGGCUUUUGGCCAGUGCAGUGCUGCAGGGAAGCCGUUAAGUUUGCCGCCUGGGAAGUACGUACGCAAGUAUGAAACUUAAAGGAAUUGGCGGGGGAGCACCAAA
rnacentral:rRNA from 1 species